AGGAUGAUCAGCCACACUGGGACUGAGACACGGCCCAGACUCCUACGGGAGGCAGCAGUGGGGAAUCUUGCGCAAUGGGCGAAAGCCUGACGCAGCAACGCCGCGUGGGGGAUGACGGCCCUCGGGUUGUAAACCCCUUUCAGCAGGAACGAAUCUGACGGUACCUGCAGAAGAAGGCCCGGCCAACUACGUGCCAGCAGCCGCGGUAACACGUAGGGGCCAAGCGUUGUCCGGAUUUAUUGGGCGUAAAGAGCUCGUAGGCGGUUGGGUAAGUCGGGUGUGAAAACUCCAGGCUCAACUUGGAGACGCCACCCGAUACUGCUCUGACUUGAGUUCGGUAGGGGAGUGGGGAAUUCCUGGUGUAGCGGUGAAAUGCGCAGAUAUCAGGAGGAACACCGGUGGCGAAGGCGGUUCUCUGGGCAUUCCCUGACGCUGAGGAGCGAAAGUGUGGGGAGCGAACAGGAUUAGAUACCCUGGUAGUCCACACCGUAAACGUUGGGCGCUAGGUGUGGGACCUAUCCAACGGGUUCCGUGCCGCAGCUAACGCAUUA
rnacentral:rRNA from 1 species